rnacentral:rRNA from 1 species
UUGCGUAGGUGGAUGAAUAAGUGAAUAGUGAAAGCCGAUGGCUCAACCAUUUGGACUAUUAUUCAAACUGUUCGUCUCGAGAGUAGCAGAGGUAACUGGAAUUUCUUGUGUAGGAGUGGAAUCCGUAGAUAUAAGAAGGAACACCAAUGGCGUAGGCAGGUUACUGGGCUAUUUCUUGACACUAAGGCACGAAAGCGUGGGGAGGCAAC